rnacentral:rRNA from 1 species
CGCGUAGGCGGGUGCUCAAGUCCGGGGUGAAAUCCUCCAGCUCAACUGGAGAACUGCCUCGGAUACUGGGUGUCUCGAGGGUGGUAGGGGUAUGCGGAACUAUCGGUGGAGCGGUGAAAUGCGUUGAUAUCGAUAGGAACUCCGGUGGCGAAGGCGGCAUACUGGACCACCUCUGACGCUGAGGCGCGAAAGCCAGGGGAGCAAACG